UGGGGAAUUUUGCACAAUGGGGGAAACCCUGAUGCAGCGACGCCGCGUGAUUUAGAAGGCCUUCGGGUUGUAAAAAUCUUUUUUACGGGAUGAAAAUGACAGUACCGUAAGAAUAAGGUCCGGCUAAAUACGUGCCAGCAGCCGCGGUAAUACGUAUGGACCGAGCGUUGUCCGGAAUCAUUGGGCGUAAAGGGUACGUAGGCGGCCUAGUAAGUUAGAAGUGAAAUAAUAUAGCUCAACUAUAUAAAGCUUUUAAAACUGCUAGGCUUGAGAGAUGGAAGAGAAAGUGGAGUUCCUAGUGUAGCGGUGAAGUGCGCAGAUAUUAGGAAGAAUACCGGUGGCGAAGGCGACUUUCUGGUCAUCAUCUGACGCUGAGGUACGAAAGCGUGGGUAGCAAAGAGG
rnacentral:rRNA from 1 species